UGACUUAGCGGCGAUGGGUGAGUAACACGUACUCAACGUACCUCCUAGAUUGGGAUAGCGACCAGAAACGUUCGAUAAUACCAAAUACUUAUUAGUUUCGCAUGAAACUUAUAUAAAAGGAGCCUUUAAAGCUCCGCUGAGAGAUCGGGGUGCGCAACAUUAGCUAGUUGGUGAGGUAACGGCCCACCAAGGCGAUGAUGUUUAGCGGGGUUGAGAGACUGAACCGCCACACUGGGACUGAGAUACGGCCCAGACUCCUACGGGAGGCAGCAGUAGGGAAUAUUCCACAAUGAGCGAAAGCUUGAUGGAGCGACACAGCGUGCAGGAUGAAGGUCCUAUGGAUUGUAAACUGCUGUGGUAAGGGAAGAAAAAGUCAUAGAGGAAAUGCUAUGACAUUGACGGUACCUUAUUAGAAAGCAACGGCUAACUAUGUGCCAGCAGCCGCGGUAAUACAUAGGUUGCAAGCGUUAUCCGGAAUUAUUGGGCGUAAAGCGUCUGUAGGUUGUUUGUUAAGUCUGGCGUCAAAUUUUGGGGCUCAACCCCAAACCGCGUUGGAUACUGGCAAACUAGAGUUGUGUAGAGGUUAGCGGAAUUCCUUGUGAAGCGGUGAAAUGCGUAGAUAUAAGGAAGAACACCAUUUUGGCGAAGGCGGCUAACUGGGCAUAUACUGACACUGAGAGACGAAAGCGUGGGGAGCAAACAGGAUUAGAUACCCUGGUAGUCCACGCCCUAAACGAUGAUCAUUAGCUGAUGGAGAAUUCGUCGGCGCAGCUAACGCAUUAAAUGAUCCGCCUGAGUAGUACGUUCGCAAGAAUAAAACUUAAAGGAAUUGACGGGGAUCCGCACAAGCGGUGGAGCAUGUGGUUUAAUUUGAAGAUACGCGUAGAACCUUACCCACUCUUGACAUCUUCUGCAAAGCUAUAGAGAUAU
rnacentral:rRNA from 1 species